rnacentral:rRNA from 1 species
GACGAACGCUGGCGGCGUGCUUAACACAUGCAAGUCGAACGGAAAGGCCCUGCUUUUGUGGGGUGCUCGAGUGGCGAACGGGUGGGUAACACGUGAGUAACCUGCCCUUGACUUUGGGAUAACUUCAGGAAACUGGGGCUAAUACCGGAUAGGAGCUCCUGCUGCAAGGUGGGGGUUGGAAAGUUUCGGCGGUUGGGGAUGGACUCGCGGCUUAUCAGCUUGUUGGUGGGGUAGUGGCUUACCAAGGCUUUGACGGGUAGCCGGCCUGAGAGGGUGACCGGCCACAUUGGGACUGAGAUACGGCCCAGACUCCUACGGGAGGCAGCAGUGGGGAAUAUUGCACAAUGGGCGGAAGCCUGAUGCAGCAACGCCGCGUGCGGGAUGACGGCCUUCGGGUUGUAAACCGCUUUCGCCUGUGACGAAGCGUGAGUGAAGGUAAUGGGUAAAGAAGCACCGGCUAACUACGUG